rnacentral:rRNA from 1 species
AUACGGAAGGAGCAAGCGUUAUUCGGAAUCACUGGGCGUAAAGGACGCGUAGGCGGGUUUGUAAGUCAGGUGUGAAAUCCUACAGCUCAACUGUAGAACUGCACUUGAAACUACAGACCUAGAGUAUGGAAGGGGCAGAUGGAAUUAGUGGUGUAGGGGUAAAAUCCGUAGAUAUCACUAGGAAUACCGAAAGCGAAGGCGAUCUGCUGGGACAUUACUGACGCUGAGGCGUGAAAGCGUGGGGAGCAAACAGGAUUAGAAACCCCAGUAGUCC